GUGCCUGGCGGCAUCUGGCCCCCGGGCCUUGAGUUUGACACCUAAUGAUGUUUCACAGUGAUAUUGUUCACUUGUUAAAUUGUGACUUCAGUAUCAACUUGGAAAAAUACAACUCUUAAUUCAAAUAAAUCCUUCCUUGCUUG